CAGCCGCCGCGGGAAUACGGAGGAUCCAAGCGUUAUCCGGAUUUAUUGGGUUUAAAGGGUGCGUAGGUGGCCUGUUAAGUCAGGGGUGAAAGACGGUAGCUCAACUAUCGCAGUGCCCUUGAUACUGAUGGGCUUGAAUGAACUAGAGGUAGGCGGAAUGUGACAAGUAGCGGUGAAAUGCAUAGAUAUGUCACAGAACACCAAUUGCGAGGGCAGCUUACUAUGGUUUGAUUGACACUGAGGCACGAAAGCGUGGGGAUCAAACAGGAUUAGAUACCCCAGUAGUCCCUGUCUCUUAUAC
rnacentral:rRNA from 1 species